rnacentral:rRNA from 1 species
UACGUAGGGUGCAAGCGUUAAUCGGAAUUACUGGGCGUAAAGCGUGCGCAGGCGGUUAUGUAAGGCAGAUGUGAAAUGCCCGGGCUCAACCUGGGAACUGCAUUUGUGACUGCAUGGCUAGAGUUUGGCAGAGGGGGGUAGAAUUCCACGUGUAGCAGUGAAAUGCGUAGAGAUGUGGAGGAAUACCGAUGGCGAAGGCAGCCCCCUGGGCCAAUACUGACGCUCAUGCACGAAAGCGUGGGGAGCAAACAGG